rnacentral:SRP_RNA from 1 species
GACCGGGCUCCGGGCGACGGUAUGUUGCGAACCUGGUCAGGUCCGGAAGGAAGCAGCCAUAAGCGGCCGCUGCCGGGUGUCCGGAACCCGGUCCGG